rnacentral:rRNA from 1 species
UACGUAUGGUGCGAACGUUGUUCGGAAUCACUGGGCAUAAAGAGCACGUAGGCGGUUGAGCAAGUCCAUUGUGAAAUCCCCCGGCUUAACCGGGGACUGCAGUGGAUACUACUCGACUUGAGUGCAGGAGGGGAGAGUGGAAUUCCAGGUGGAGCGGUGAAAUGCGUAGAUAUCUGGAGGAACGCCGGCGGCGAAAGCGACUCUCUGGCCUGUAACUGACGCUGAGGUGCGAAAGCUAAGGGGAGCAAACGGGG